GCGCCCGUAGCUCAAUUGGAUAGAGCAACAGCCUUCUAAGCUGUAGGUUAGUGGUUCGAGUCCACUCGGGCGUACAA
rnacentral:tRNA from 2 species